rfam:Tuber melanosporum whole genome shotgun sequence assembly, scaffold_79, strain Mel28
GGUCGCGUGGCCUAAUGGUCAAGGCGCUGGUUUUCGGCACCAGAGAUUGGAAGUUCGAGUCCUCCCGCGAUCG